AGUGGAAUUCCACGUGUAGCGGUGAAAUGCGUAGAUAUGUGGAGGAACACCAGUGGCGAAGGCGACUCUCUGGGCUGUAACUGACGCUGAGGCGCGAAAGCGUGGGGAGCAAACAGGAUUAGAUACCCUGGUAGUCCACGCCCUAAACGAUGAAUGCUAGGUGUUAGGGGUUUCCAUACCCUUGGUGCCGAAGUUAACACAUUAAGCAUUCCGCCUGGGGAGUACGGUCGCAAGACUGAAACUCAAAGGAAUUGACGGGGACCCCCACAAGCCGUGGAAUAUGUGGUUUAAUUCCAAGCAACGCCAAAAACCUUACCAAGUCUUGACAUCCCUCUGAAUCCUCUAGAGAUAGAGGCGGCCUUCUGGACAGACGUGACACGUGGUGCAUGGUUGUCGUCAGCUCGUGUCGUGAGAUGUUGGGUUAAAUCCCGCAACGAGCGCAACCCUUGAUUUUAGUUGCCAGCACUUUGGGUGGGCACUCUAGAAUGACUGCCGGUGACAAACC
rnacentral:rRNA from 1 species